rnacentral:misc_RNA from 1 species
GACAACAUUCGCCUCUACAACUGCCCCGUCCUCGAAGCGCCAGUGCUCUCGGCUGGAUCAGACUACGAGAACCCGGAUACGAACGGCUCCUUCACUCUCAACUGGACACGCCCCACCGGCGCCAGCGGCCCGGAAGUCGUGCAGGAAUCCACCACCUCGUGUGCUCCGUUGAU